ensembl:ncRNA C13G3.8 ncRNA
GAACACUAAAAUGUUUUUUUCUUUGGUAUGCGCUGCAAAAAGACUACAGGAAAGGCGUAACAAACCAAAAAAACACAAUCAAACUAAUUGAGCUGGAGUCCUAAUCCGUUCCAACUAUCCUAUUCGAAUUAUUUCUAAUAC